UCCUGGCUCAGGAUGAACGCUGGCGGCGUGCUUAACACAUGCAAGUCGAACGAAGCACUUUAUUUGAUUUCCUUCGGGACUGAUUAUUUUGUGACUGAGUGGCGGACGGGUGAGUAACGCGUGGGUAACCUGCCUUGUACAGGGGGAUAACAGUUGGAAACGGCUGCUAAUACCGCAUAAGCGCACAGCAUCGCAUGAUGCAGUGUGUAAAACUCCGGUGGUAUAAGAUGGACCCGCGUUGGAUUAGCUAGUUGGUGAGGUAACGGCCCACCAAGGCGACGAUCCAUAGCCGACCUGAGAGGGUGACCGGCCACAUUGGGACUGAGACACGGCCCAAACUCCUACGGGAGGCAGCAGUGGGGAAUAUUGCACAAUGGGCGAAAGCCUGAUGCAGCGACGCCGCGUGAGCGAAGAAGUAUUUCGGUAUGUAAAGCUCUAUCAGCAGGGAAGAUAAUGACGGUACCUGACUAAGAAGCACCGGCUAAAUACGUGCCAGCAGCCGCGGUAAUACGUAUGGUGCAAGCGUUAUCC
rnacentral:rRNA from 1 species